rnacentral:lncRNA from 1 species
UCCCCUUCCUCGGGCGCGGCUCGCUACAGUUCAUGUGGGGCCGGCUCCCGGUAGCCCGCGCUCCCGUGGUGGGCGGCCGGGUUCGGAGAACUAGUUGCGGCCUGCCGCUGCGCCAGCCCUGUCGGAGGGUCCCGUUAGGGUUCCGUGAGUGUGGUUCCCUCGGGCUCCUAGGCCUCGGCUGCAGUCCAGGCCUCGCGCCCGAGCGCUGAGGGCGGCCGCCCCGCGCUGCCGGGAGUCGGUCGCCGAGAAGGUACGGUAGGAUGGAGUUUUACGCUUCCCUUUAAGGGGGGUGGGGAGAGAGUACGGCUCCGGUGCCGGCAGCGCACAUGUCGAGUCCCGUCUACAGCUGGCGUCGCUGACCGCGAGGAAGUGUCGUGCUGGCACCACGGACUCCCUCGGGCGUCUCUGCCAGGUGUCUGGCGCAGCGGCGCGCUGGGCGGCGCUCAGCAACCUGACGCCGAAUCUGUGCUGCACUCACUUGUUCAAUAGCUUAUUAAGAUCUCAAUAAAAAUUAAAGGUUCUGGAGGGUUACUAAGAAUUUAACCCAGCGGCGCUUUGCCACCGAGACUUUUCUAUUUUUUAUUUUAAGACGGUCUAAAUUGUGAGGUUGUCCUCGAACUCGGGCGUGCUCCUGGUUCAGUCUCUGGAAUGGCUGGGAUUACCUGCGCCACCGCUCCCCGCAGUGAUUGACUUUGUCCAAAAGGCUCCAGUGGAAUCUGGCACUGUUUGCUACGAGACCCCGUGAGCAUAGUUAUUUGUGUAUACUAUAGAUAGGCAAGGACAGGCGCACGCUCAGGUAAGGUUAAACCACCACCGUUUUGUACUUAGUUUCUUGGCAUGUUGCACUAAAAUAAUAACUCUUGAGGAGUAAACGCCCUCAUAGAAUUCAAGGGGAAAAAACAUUUGUCACACCAGGUAAAAACUAUUACUGAAAAUUCAGGUCUUAUCCAGGGAAUACCAAAAAAGUGAGAGGAGGAGGACACCGUGCUGUGCGCCUGUAGUCCCAGCUACUCCAAGGCUGAGGGGGAGGAUUUGGAAGCCAGCCUGCCAACACAGCGCAAAAUAGUAAAAAUUUGCCUGGCGCUGCGGUGCAGGCCUGUAAUCCCAAUUAUUCAGGGAGGGAGGCAGAAAUGUUGCAAAUUUGAUGGUAGCCUGGACAAUUUAGCCAGACCCUAUCUGAAAAUACUAAAGAGGGCAGUAGUUUGGGGCUGAGAUUGUGGCUCAGUGGUAGAGCCUUGCCUUGCACUUGUGAGGCACUGGGUUGGAUGCUCAGCACCACAUAAGAAUAAAUAAAUAAGGUAUUGUGUCCAACUACAACUUAAAAGUGGGGGUUACUAGGGCUCAGUAGUAAAAUGCCCUUGGUUUAAUCGCCAGAACAAGAAAAAGAAAGGGGGAGAAAAGGGAGGAAGGAAGGAGACCAAGAGGAUGAGGGGAAAAGGAGAGUUACUCACUUUAGGCUAUAUUUAUCACUGUCAUUCAGAUUCAGAGAUUAAUUAUGCAUUAAGAUACUUAAAAAUUUUUUUUGAUGGACCUUUAUUUUAUUUAUUUAUAUGUGAUGCUGAGAAUUGAACCCAGUGUCUCAAACAGGCACUUUACUACUGAGCUACAACCCAGUCCCUUAAAAAUAUAUUUAAAAUUUUGAUGGUAAUGUUUGGGCUGUAGUGACCUUACAGAGAUAAAUAGACACAGCUAAGUGUCCUUAGGAGCUGCAUUUGAAAUCUUUACUGACUCAGCCAUGUGAAGCAACCAAUCUCUCAGAUUUAUCUAGUUGACCAGGCUUAUUCUCUUAUUACAACAUGACUCAGUACUUC